rnacentral:lncRNA from 1 species
UUCAACGCUUAAGUCAGUAACAACUCAAGAUGAGCAUGUAUGAAAUGGGUGAAAUAUAUGUACCUUGAAGAUGAGUGCAUGUGCAUGUAUAUAUUGGUGAUGACAUGAAUAAUCGUCUCGAGGUCCCAUUGUGUGAGCGGAUUAAUGAAAAAUGAGUAUCUCACAUGGUUCAUUUAUCCGGUAUAGGCACUGUAGCGUAAGAGUACAGUGAACCUGCAACGGGGUCAUUAGACACUAUAUAUGGUGCACCAUGAGGGUGUACACUUUAGUAAGGGUAACAGAGAGCACUAUUGGACUUAAGACAUAAAUCAGCUACUAGCUUUGUGGCCAUUGGCCAGUCUGGAGCAUUAUUGAAGAGCUAUAAUUGAUAUUAUACAUAUAGAAUUGAUUCUAACAUGUUUUGUUUCAUCAUAGUAGAAAUGAUUUGCCUCCAAAAUUGAUUGUACUUAAAGCUAGAGCUUCCGAUUUGUUCCGGACUAGACUAAAUUCCAAUACACUUGCCCAAAGGGCAUAAAACUACAAUACAUGUUACCAAGCAUAACGACCCAAGGCAAA